GACUGACUCAUAUGAAGUCAUUUUUGUACGGUUUCUCAUCGUGAGAUGUAAUGUAAUUCUGGUUUUAUUUUUUUCUCCCAGCUGCACAGCUGUCUUUUAUAAUGCACAUAGGUUAUAUUAAACCGAGCACUAAUUAUCACUGUGCCAAGAGGCAGCAGCGCUAGGACUGCAGAUGAAACAGAAAACAGAGCUACAGCAAAAAGUACAGCAGAUUAAACCUCACUCAUGACCUUUUAAGUCUUGUGGGUGAGCUCUGAGCUACACACUGAGAUAAAGUGGAAUUUCCUGGCUUCAGCAGAGAGAAACUCAUGUCUUUUUGCUCCGAAGCACAAAGCACUACUGCUCAAGAAUAAGGAGAAUCAUCCUUGCCACAUGCCAGGCUGUGGGAUGACUUCUGCUUCUCUUGAUAACACUCACAAGCACGUAUCUGACAGUCAGUCCUUUAAGGUAGAUUACAUACUCUGUUGCUAACAUGCACUCAAGAGCAUCAAAAUAAUUAAAUCAUGUAGUAUCCAAGAAAGUAAAUAAGUCCUUGUAAUGUUAGCAGCUUACAGGUGGCACGGAGGAACAGAAGGCUGGGGGAUUGAUGUGUUUCCAGACACCACGAAAUGAAGCUCUGGCAGAACUGAGAGGUAAGCCCUGAGUCGCCGGUGUUCUCCCACUUCAGGAAAGCCGAGCACCAUCAGCUAAUGGCCAUGAAUAUUUCAGCUGUGUCAUUAUUAUUUCACAGAGGACAGCCUCCUCCCUGCUGGCUUCUGAGGCACUUUGCAGACCAUUCCCGCUGAGCUGGAGGCAGAGGAAUGAGUUGUGCAGCACC
ensembl:lncRNA